rnacentral:rRNA from 1 species
CGCAGUCUGACGGAGCACGCCGCGUGAGUGAAGAAGGUUUUCGGAUCGUAAAACUCUGUUGUUAGAGAAGAACAAGUGCUAGAGUAACUGUUAGCGCCUUGACGGUAUCUAACCAGAAAGCCACGGCUAACUACGUGCCAGCAGCCGCGGUAAUA